GAUGAAGAACGCAGCGAAAUGCGAUAAGUAAUGCGAAUUGCAGAAUUCCAGUGAGUCAUCGAAUCUUUGAACGCACAUUGCGCCCUUUGGUAUUCCGAAGGGCAUGCCUGUUCGAGCGUCAUUAUCACCCCUCAAGCCCUCGGCUUGGUGUUGGACGGUUUGGUGGAGGCCCCCUCGGGGGCUCCUGCCCCUCCCAAAGACAAUGACGGCGGCCUCGUUGGACCCCCGGUACACUGAGUUCUUCACGGGACACGUAUCGGACACAUGGGUUUACGGGACACGGUCUGCCUCCCCUCAGGGAGAAUCUUUCUAAGGUUGACCUCGGAUCAGGUAUGGAUACCCGCUGAACUUAAGCAUAUCAAUAAGCGGAGGA
rnacentral:misc_RNA from 1 species